rnacentral:tRNA from 1 species
GCUGGAAUGGCCGAGUCGUUAAGGCGAGUGAUUUGAAUAGGUGCCCACAAGCACUGAUAGGUUAUCACUUGGUGUUUCACCGCGUAGGUUCAAAUCCUGCUUCCAGCG